GACGAACGCUGGCGGCGUGCUUAACACAUGCAAGUCGAGCGAUGAAGUUCCUUCGGGAAUGGAUUAGCGGCGGACGGGUGAGUAACGCGUGGGUAACCUGCCUCAUAGAGGGGAAUAGCCUUUCGAAAGGAAGAUUAAUACCGCAUAAGAUUGUAGUAUCGCAUGAUACAGCAAUUAAAGGAGUAAUCCGCUAUGAGAUGGACCCGCGUCGCAUUAGCUAGUUGGUGAGGUAACGGCUCACCAAGGCGACGAUGCGUAGCCGACCUGAGAGGGUGAUCGGCCACAUUGGGACUGAGACACGGCCCAGACUCCUACGGGAGGCAGCAGUGGGGAAUAUUGCACAAUGGGGGAAACCCUGAUGCAGCAUCGCCGCGUGAGUGAUGACGGUCUUCGGAUUGUAAAACUCUGUCUUCAGGGACGAUAAUGACGGUACCUGAGGAGGAAGCCACGGCUAACUACGUGCCAGCAGCCGCCGUAA
rnacentral:rRNA from 1 species